GUUGAACGCUGGCGGCAUGCUUUACACAUGCAAGUCGAACGGUAACAGGGUGCUUGCACCGCUGACGAGUGGCGAACGGGUGAGUAAUGCGUCGGAACGUGCCGAGCAGUGGGGGAUAACGCAGCGAAAGUUGUGCUAAUACCGCAUACGUACUGAGGUAGAAAGUGGGGGACCUUCGGGCCUCACGCUAUUCGAGCGGCCGACGUCUGAUUAGCUAGUAGGUGAGGUAAAGGCUCACCUAGGCGACGAUCAGUAGGGGGUCUGAGAGGAUGGUCCGCCAAACUGGGACUGAGACACGGCCCAGACUCCUACGGGGGGCAGCAGUGGGGAAUUUUGGACAAUGGGCGAAAGCCUGAUUCAGCCAUGCCGCGUGUCUGAAGAAGGCCUUCGGGUUGUAAAGGACUUUUGUCAGGGAGGAAAUCCCUAGUGCUAAUAACACUGGGGGAUGACAGUACCUGAAGAAUAAGCACCGGCUAACUACGUGCCAGCCGCCGCCGUAA
rnacentral:rRNA from 1 species